GUUCAGAAUGCAGGUCAUUACCAGUUUCGAACUCCUAUGAUUACAAAUUAAGCCUUCGUUCCCAGUUUACAAAACCAAUUUGAACCAACCUUAAGAACAGAAACAAAAGGGCUUACACGUAAAACACCUAUCACAAUUACCUGACCAUAAGGUAGGACUCCGCUUAGCAAUAUACCCUAUAUAACUGCAGUAGUCCAUACAUCAGCUUCAUGUCCAUCACAUAAUAUUAAUUCCUAACAACAUCAGGGAUAUUUGUCCUGAAAUUCACAAGUAGAUCAAACUAAAUUAAACCAAGCCAUGUAGUGUUAAUUAAGCAAAUCGGAAGUAGAGAAGCAUUUGAGAGAAGUUGAGAACAAGCGAGAGGGAGAACAUACGUCAAACGCUUUUGUUUGGUGGGAAAACGUUAACCUCCAUGAACUCUAAAUAUACAUAAGUAAGAAGUUAAAGUUGCAAGGAAGAUAGGGACUGACAGGUUGAAUUCUAAAGUGACAUCGACGUGCAUACAAACCAAACCUUCACUGCUUUGUUUUCUCGACCAAAGACAUUCAAUUCUGGUCUGCUUCCUUCAGCUUAUGCUUAGACGGCCACUUCCAGGUCGAUGUGUAACCAUAAUGGACCUGCGAAGGAGAAGCUCCGUGUGGACCUAGGUAGAUGUUUUCUUAACCUGUAAUCUACAAAACAUAGAGCGAGAGGUUUUUUUUUUAAUACCAUUGGAAAAACAACUCCUCCAUAUAAGUAAUCAAUCGCUGACUUAAAUUAAACAAAGGAAUGAUUCCUUAUCUUCUGGGACAACAAAAUCAUCCAAUUUUACGGGCCCUAGAGAUUGCAGAUUGGAGAUUUGACGAUCACCUUGGACAUGUUUUUUUAGAUGGAGAACUUCAGCCGAAUCAAUUCUGACAGUGAGAAAAGAGAAACUCUCAAAUUCCGGGGAAAGUAAGAGAAACCAAAAAAAAAACGAAUGAACUGACCCCAUUCAGAAUCAUAUUAUUCUUCGUCUACUUCUGGAGGCAGCGUCUUCGUCUGCGUUAACGAACCGCCGCGUGUAGAGGAGAUCGGGAGUAUAGGACAGAAGAAGAGGAAAAUCGGGUGGUCGACGUCGUUUAGC
rnacentral:lncRNA from 1 species